rnacentral:rRNA from 1 species
AUUGAACGCUGGCGGCAUGCCUUACACAUGCAAGUCGAGCGCGAAAGGGGGCAACCCCGAGUAGAGCGGCGGACGGGUGAGUAACGCAUCGGAACGUGCCCAGUAGUGGGGGACAACCUCGAGAAAUCGAGGCUAAUACCGCAUACGACCCACGGGUGAAAGCGGGGGACCGCAAGGCCUCGCGCUAUUGGAGCGGCCGAUGUCCGAUUAGCUAGUUGGCGGGGUAAGAGCCCCACCAAGGCGACGAUCGGUAGCUGGUCUGAGAGGACGACCAGCCACACUGGGACUGAGACACGGCCCAGACUCCUACGGGAGGCAGCAGUGGGGAAUUUUGGACAAUGGGGGCAACCCUGAUCCAGCCAUGCCGCGUGCGGGAAGAAGGCCU